AUUGAACGCUGGCGGAAUGCUUUACACAUGCAAGUCGAACGGCAGCACGGACUUCGGUCUGGUGGCGAGUGGCGAACGGGUGAGUAAUGUAUCGGAACGUGCCCAGUCGUGGGGGAUAACGUAGUGAAAAUUACGCUAAUACCGCAUACGAUCUAUGGAUGAAAGCGGGGGAUCGCCAGACCUCGCGCGAUUGGAGCGGCCGAUAUCAGAUUAGGUAGUUGGCGGGGUAAAGGCCCACCAAGCCAACGAUCUGUAGCUGGUCUGAGAGGACGACCAGCCACACUGGAACUGAGGCACGGUCCAGACUCCUACGGGAGGCAGCAGUGGGGAAUUUUGGACAAUGGGCGAAAGCCUGAUCCAGCCAUUCCGCGUGCAGGAUGAAGGCCCUCGGGUUGUAAACUGCUUUUGUACAGAACGAAAAGGUUUCUACUAAUACUAGGAGCUCAUGACGGUACUGUAAGAAUAAGCACCGGCUAACUACGUGCCAGCCGCCGCCGUAA
rnacentral:rRNA from 1 species